AGCGGGAAAAGCUCAAAUUUAAAAUCUGAUGGCCUUUGGUUAUCCGAGUUGUAAUUUAGAGAAGCGUUUUCCGCGCUGGACCAUGCAUAAGUCUCCUGGAAUGGAGCGUCAUAGAGGGUGAGAAUCCCGUCUUUGGCAUGGAUCCCAGGGCUUCUGUGAUGCGCUCUCAAAGAGUCGAGUUGUUUGGGAAUGCAGCUCAAAAUGGGUGGUGAACUCCAUCUAAAGCUAAAUAUUGGCGAGAGACCGAUAGCGAACAAGUACCGUGAGGGAAAGAUGAAAAGCACUUUGGAAAGAGAGUGAAACAGUACGUGAAAUUGUUGAAAGGGAAACGCUUGAAGUCAGUCGCGUUGACCGAGACUCAGCCUUGCCUCGGCUUGGUGUACUUCUCGGCUGACGGGUCAGCAUCAAUUUUGAUCCUUGGAUAAUGGCAAGGGAAAGGUGGCACCUUUAGGUGUGUUAUAGUCCUUUGUCGGAUACAAGGGUUGGGAUUGAGGAACUCAGCAUGCACCUCACGGUGUCGGGGCCUCUGGCUCACGUUACAUGCUUAGGAUGCUGGCGUAAUGGCUUUAAACGACCCGUCUUGA
rnacentral:rRNA from 1 species